GAUCAUAAUUAAAUGGCCGCAGUAUUUUAACUGUGCAAAGGUAGCGUAAUCAUUAGUCUUUUAAUUGGAGGCUAGAAUGAAUGGUUGGACGAGGCAUAUACUGUAUCAAGUUAAUAUAUAGAAUUUUAUUUUUUAGUUAAAAAGCUAAAAUAUUUAUGAAAGACGAGAAGACCCUAUAGAUCUUUAUAUUUUGAUUAAUUUUAGUUAUUUAGAUGAUUUUAGUUAASAUUAGUUUAASUAUUUUGUUGGGGUGACAUUAAGAUUUAUGUAACUCUUAAUUUAUUAUUACAUUAAUUUUUGAAUAUUAAUUAUUAUUAUUUGAUCCUGKUUUAUAGAUUAAAAAAUUAAGUUACCUUAGGGAUAACAGCGUAAUUUUUCUGGAGAGUUCAUAUCGAUAGAAAAGAUUGCGACCYCGAUGUUGGAUUAAGAUUAAUAUUGGGUGAAAAAGUUCAAUUUAUUAAGUCUGGUCGACUUUUAAUUUCUUACAUGAUCUGAGUUCAAACCGGGGUGAGCCAGGUUGGGUUCCAUCUUUAWUWAWUUAUAAUAUUUUAGUACGAAAGGACCAAAUAUUAAAAUUAUUAAUUUUAUAUAUUGAAUUUUAUUAAUU
rnacentral:rRNA from 1 species